UUGACAGCUCUGGAGAAUGAAGUCCUCUAUUCACAGAACAGACAGAGUAUGGACAACAGCAAUACAAGUUUCUCCUGGUGGGAUAUCAAUGCUGUCACCUGAACUUGAAGUGACAACUUCCCUUCAGUAUAGAACUUUAAAAUGGGCACUUCUGUAACUAAUGAAUACUUAACUUUC
rnacentral:sRNA from 1 species